AUUAGAGGAAGUAAAAGUCGUAACAAGGUCUCCGUAGGUGAACCUGCGGAGGGAUCAUUACAAGUGACCCCGGUUUACCACCGGGAUGUUCAUAACCCUUUGUUGUCCGACUCUGUUGCCUCCGGGGCGACCCUGCCUUCGGGCGGGGGCUCCGGGUGGACACUUCAAACUCUUGCGUAACUUUGCAGUCUGAGUAAACUUAAUUAAUAAAUUAAAACUUUUAACAACGGAUCUCUUGGUUCUGGCAUCGAUGAAGAACGCAGCGAAAUGCGAUAAGUAAUGUGAAUUGCAGAAUUCAGUGAAUCAUCGAAUCUUUGAACGCACAUUGCGCCCCCUGGUAUUCCGGGGGGCAUGCCUGUUCGAGCGUCAUUUCACCACUCAAGCCUCGCUUGGUAUUGGGCAACGCGGUCCGCCGCGUGCCUCAAAUCGACCGGCUGGGUCUUCUGUCCCCUAAGCGUUGUGGAAACUAUUCGCUAAAGGGUGCUCGGGAGGCUACGCCGUAAAACAACCCCAUUUCUAAGGUUGACCUC
rnacentral:rRNA from 1 species